rnacentral:ncRNA from 1 species
CUCUGGAAAGCGGCACGUUCGCGCGUGCCCACCGACGAUGUAAGCCCGCGCCCCGUGCACGGGUGAAUCUUUCAGGUUCCAAGGACAGAG